UGCUGUAAUUAUGGCAAAACUAUUUUUUGGCAUCAAUGUGGCAUCCAAUCUUUGUCUUUGUCAAAAGAUCGGCUGCUCAUGUUUAGCUGGUAUUUACAAUUGAGCGGAGGACGAGGCAGUCACUACUACGACAUUGAUGCCAAAAAAGAGUUUUGCCAUAUUACAGCA